rnacentral:rRNA from 1 species
GGCGAACGGGUGAGUAACACGUGAGUAACCUGCCCUUGACUCUGGGAUAAGCCUGGGAAACUGGGUCUAAUACCGGAUAUGAGCUUCCAUCGCAUGGUGGUUGUUGGAAAGAUUUAUCGGUCAUGGAUGGACUCGCGGCCUAUCAGCUUGUUGGUGAGGUAAUGGCUCACCAAGGCGACGACGGGUAGCCGGCCUGAGAGGGUGACCGGCCACACUGGGACUGAGACACGGCCCAGACUCCUACGGGAGGCAGCAGUGGGGAAUAUUGCACAAUGGGCGAAAGCCUGAUGCAGCGACGCCGCGUGAGGGAUGACGGCCUUCGGGUUGUAAACCUCUUUCAGUAGGGAAGAAGCGAAAGUGACGGUACCUGCAGAAGAAGCACCGGCUAACUACGUGCCAGCAGCCGCGGUAAUACGUAGGGUGCGAGCGUUAUCCGGAAUUAUUGGGCGUAAAGAGCUCGUAGGCGGUUUGUCGCGUCUGUCGUGAAAGUCCGGGGCUUAACCCCGGAUCUGCGGUGGGUACGGGCAGACUAGAGUGCAGUAGGGGAGACUGGAAUUCCUGGUGUAGCGGUGGAAUGCGCAGAUAUCAGGAGGAACACCGAUGGCGAAAGGCAGGUUCUCUGGGCUGUAAACUGACGCUGAAGGAGCGAAAGCAAUGGGG